AGUGAACGCUGGCGGUAGGCCUAACACAUGCAAGUCGAACGGCAGCACAGUAAGAGCUUGCUCUUACGGGUGGCGGGUGGCGGACGGGUGAGGAAUACAUCGGAAUCUACUUUUUCGUGGGGGAUAACGUAGGGAAACUUACGCUAAUACCGCAUACGACCUACGGGUGAAAGCAGGGGAUCUUCGGACCUUGCGCGAUUGAAUGAGCCGAUGUCGGACUAGCUAGUUGGCGGGGUAAAGGCCCACCAAGGCGACGAUCCGUAGCUGGUCUGAGAGGAUGAUCAGCCACACUGGAACUGAGACACGGUCCAGACUCCUACGGGAGGCAGCAGUGGGGAAUAUUGGACAAUGGGCGCAAGCCUGAUCCAGCCAUACCGCGUGGGUGAAGAAGGCCUUCGGGUUGUAAAGCCCUUUUGUUGGGAAAGAAAAGCAGCAGGUUAAUACCCCGCUGUUCUGACGGUACCCAAAGAAUAAGCACCGGCUAACUUCGUG
rnacentral:rRNA from 1 species